UACGUAGGGUGCAGGCGUUAAUCGGAAUACUGGGCGUAAAGCGUGCGCAGGCGGUUUUGUAAGCCAGAUGUGAAAUCCCCGGGCUUAACCUGGGAAUGGCAUUUGGGACUGCAAGGCUGGAGUGUGGCAGAGGAGACUGGAAUUCCUGGUGUAGCAGUGAAAUGCGUAGAUAUCAGGAGGAAUACCGAUGGCGAAGGCAGGUCUCUGGGCUGACACUGACGCUCAUGCACGAAAGCCGUGGGGAGCAAACAGG
rnacentral:rRNA from 1 species